CAUCCCGGUCCCACCAACCAGCCCCACCUGUCAUUGCCAAUGGCCAGGGUGCAGAGCACCUGCCACAAGUCUCUGGCCACACCAGCCCUUCCCGCGUCCCCUCUCCUUCCCCUCACACACCAUGAACCCCUUCUGUGAAGGGCGUCCCAAAGGGGCAGGGGGGACAGGGACAAGGCCUGGGAGCCAGGGAGAGUGGCUCCUGCGAGGCUGAACAGGCCCUCGUGCAGGUGGACCGGCUCAUCAUCUGCGUGUUUCUAGAGAAGGACGAGAACAUCUACCUGCAGCGGCUCCCGCACUACUUCCCCCUGGACUCGCCGGGGCCUGGGCCUGCUGGACCUCGCUCCCAGCUCUAAGAGGCAGCUGAAGCCGGCAGCUGGGCCUGGCCACCCCAUCUUUUCCCUCAGCCCCCCGCCCUUCAGGAGCCUCCUAAUAAAGGCCGCCCUGUUGCAGC